AUGAAAGUCUCAGCCACCCUCUCCAGUGUGAAAGUCCCUCCGUCUAACCUUACACUACAAGAAAAGAAGGCCGUCGCUUCCCUGAGCAAAGACCACAACAUCACUAUAUUACCAGCAGAUAAGGGAAGGUGCACCGUGGUCCUAAACACAACAGAUUACCACACAAAGAUCACUACUCUCCUCAGUGACAACAACACCUACGAAGCUUUAAAACGAGACCCCACAAGCAGCUACAAAAAGAAAGUUAUAGCUUGCCUUCAAGACCUUGAAAAGGACAAAAUCAUUGACCGCCUCACAUAUCACCGUCUUUAUCCAGGGGAUGCCAUACCCUGCAUUUAUGGACUUCCUAAAAUCCACAAGGAAGGGGUCCCACUCAGACCCAUAGUCAGUAGCAUAAACUCAGCCACUUAUAACAUUGCGAAACACCUUGCUACCAUCCUUGCACCUCUUGUGGGGAACACCCCACACCACAUCAAGAACUCCACUGACUUCACCGACAAGGUCCAGAAACUUACCCUGGAUUCAGAUGAAACCAUGGUGUCCUUUAAUGUAGUCUCUCUCUUCACUUGCAUACCCACCACGGAAGCAGUGGAGACUGUCAGAAAACGACUACAAGAAGACAGCUCCUUGGAAGACAGGACCAACUUCACACCCGAUCAGAUCUGCACACUGUUAGACCUCUGCCUCACCACAACAUACUUCAAAUACAACGAAGGCUUCUACAGACAAAAACAUGGCUGUGCCAUGGGCUCCCCUGUGUCACCUAUUGUAGCCAACCUUUACAUGGAGGAAGUGGAAAGAAAGGCUCUUGGCUCUUUUAAAGGGAGAGUACCCAGCCACUGGUACAGAUAUGUAGACGACACCUGGGUCAAAAUCAAGACACAAGAAGUGGAAUCCUUCACUGCGCACAUUAACGCCGUGGAUAAAAACAUCAAGUUCACCAGGGAAGACACAAAGGACAACUGUUUGCCUUUCCUGGACUGCGCUGUGCACAUUGAAGAGAAUGGCAUCCUCAACAUUGAAGUUUACCGGAAGCCCACACACACGGACCAGUACCUCCUCUUUGACUCCCAUCACCCUCUGGAACACAAACUUGGAGUAAUUAGGACCCUACACCACCGGGCAGAACAUGUUCCCUCUAAGCCUGAGGGAAAAAAGAAGGAACACACACAUGUAAAGGAAGCACUCAAAACAUGUGGUUAUCCUAACUGGGCGUUCAUAAAGUGUCGGGGGAAAUCUCCCAAAUAG
rnacentral:lncRNA from 1 species